CUUCCUUUCUACUUGACAGUAACCGGGAGGAAACCACAUUUACGGUAAAGCAUCAGCAUGAGGAGCAGCAGCAGCAUUAGCAGCAUCACUGGAGAAUGACUGAAAGGCUCAGAAAAAUGCUGUCACCAAAAAUCAUCCAUCAGCCAGAAAGCCUUCCACAUACUGCAGCUCCCAGAUAAACACUCUCAGGUAUACAUCACCCUUCUGUCAACUGUUGGCUGAAAAAAAGAGAGAGAAAAUCUUUCACGAAACGAGCAAAUAAAAAAACAUCUGUGUUUGUGACGAGGUAGGAUUUUAAGAGCAGAGGGAGAAGAGUGUGACGAGAGAUAAGACCAAGAGGAUCCUGUUGUUGGGGGGGAUUUAAGACAUGUUCUUCACUGACAACUCUGACAGAACCAUGAAGUUCUGUUUUUAAAUCAUGUUAUGACUGAAGUGAAUCAUGUCAUAUACGUACUGCUGCGACGCAGUUAAAAAGCAUAGAGUAAUUAGUGGCUUUGUAAGGAAUCCACCUAAACCGUCCCCACUGUUCACUUUGGUGAUGGGUUAAAACAGAGGUCACAUUUGGUUGUGUUCAGUGGUGAGCUGUGUCACAAUGACAAGGAGUUCACUUUCCUUUCCUGUCCUUCCUUUAUCUACCACCAUUAGUUUAGUUCUGAAUUUAAAUCAGUUAUGGUUGACUAAGUGAAUGAAUGUUUUCGUCUGUCUACUACUUUUACAUGACCUAAAAACACAGUACAAUUACAAAAACACAGAACCAGGACUGUUCAGUCUGUACCAGAGCUAACGACUGGUGUAGCUAAUGUUAGCUCUGGUGUCUGUAGAGAAUUGAUUCUGUAAACUUUGAGUAUUGUAUCGUUAAGAAAACUGAUAAAUAUUUAAAUAAAACUUGUGAUGGGAAUGAGAGCAAUAAAAUAUAUGACGUGUUUCAAUAAAAUUAUUUUAUAAUUAGGCAGAGUCUUGCUUUCUUCUGACCAGGCUCUCACCCACAAGUAUUGGUGGAGGAGGUAGAGAGGGUAGAGGAGGUUCAGGGUUUGGAAUGGGAGUACAUUUAUUUUAGACUAGUGUAGAUUAGUCUUCAGUGUUUUCUUUUUAAUAAUUUACUUUAUUUUGUUUCAUUCAUCAACUUUAGAUUCUUCUUUUAAUAUUCAUCUUUAUUAUAAAUAAAUAAAAUACAGAAUUUGAACACAAAUAAUACACACAAUCUCUGGUUCUUGUUAUACUAGUUGUUUGUUCAGAAAUACACGUUCUGGUACUGGUUGAAACUAUGUACUUUGGGCUUUGAGCAUUUCAUGUUUGAUGUGAAGUCAUGGCCAGAACUAGAACGGUCUCAGAGCUGUGCUGAUGUUCUAGGAUUCAGAUUCUGCUGCUAUGUUAAAGGGUUAAAAGCUCAUGAUCUCUGUCAUCUGUCUGUCUUUACAAGACGUUUCCAGCAGUUUCUGUUCAGGAGGGACAUACAGUCAGAGUAAAGACAAAUCAUCACUGACUAAACUUACCUACCGCUGCUUUAAACUCUUAACCUCCUUCUUAAAAGUCCAGUUUAUGAGUGUAAGCCUGGCCCUGGUCCUGUCGUUAAUCCUGAUGAGGGUCAGCCUGAAGCUCUCUGCUGAGAGCAGGUUCUGUGUGGACAUAUGGUAUGAUGAUGGUGGACCCUCCUUUAAAGGGUAAUGUGAUAUAUUUUUACAGCUUAAAUGACAGUUUCUUUAAAAUUGAUAUUCCUCCUUUUUAUAAUGUCACCUUUAAUAUUCAUGGACGUCAGAAGCACGAGCUCUGCUGCUGUCGUGGACUGAAUAGUGACUCUGUGGACGCUGGUCUUUUUAUGGAAGUCCAUGCUCAGCCUGCAACACUUAAAAAGGAUUUAGGACUCCAUUAAUGACUUGAUUUUACAGUGUGCAAUAAAAGGAUUAUGGAGCUUUUUUAACCGACGUGUCUGUUGCCCUUUCAGCGGGCUUCACUGCAUCUGUUCAGUUUGGAACUGAAUUUUAGUAUUUGAUCCUCUUCAGGAAGUUUUCAUCAUCUUUUUAUCCAAGUGUUUUCUUACACUCGUACACUUUUUCUCGACUUCCUCUGGGAGAAUUCCAAGUCAACUUUGAGAUAUGAUCUCUUCAGUGGUCUGUUCAGUGGAGAAGCAGACAUUUAAAAUGAACUGGUACUGUUCAGGAAGUACUAGGAGUACAGUCACGACUGGAGAUCAAUAACAACUCUGUUACUCUUACUGCAGUAUUGAAGAAAAGUCAGUGAAGGUGGUCCCAGGUCCCAUGAGUGAAACCAGCAACCAGCUCUACAUGAACAGGGUGAUAGUGGCCCUUUUGUCAUGUCAUGUCAUGUUAAUGUAUAUAUAUAUAUAGUAUUCACCAGCUCAUGUCACCUCAGUCUGACACCCAGUGAUUCCCUGAGGACCGUGUUAACUCACAGAAGGUGAUUAUUUUAGUUGCCAUUCUAAUUUCACAGUGAGUGAAGGUGAUGGGUUCUUAGAUUUAUAUUUAGAAAUCCAAUCAGUCUCUGGUUGCUCCUUUGUGGAAGUAACUCUGAAGAGCACACCAUGAUUACUUCUUGUGUUUGUUGUUGUCAAAAACCCACUGUUUUCUUCAACUCCCUUCAGAAACCCACACACUCUCUGUCUGUCAGUUAUCUUUGUCUCCUGUGUGCCGUCAUCCUUCACACUCUUCCACUUCAGCAGUUCCAGGUAAUUGUCAAAUGAAGUGAGGUUCAGUCAAUAGGAAAAUUGUUUUCUACGUCUCUCCCAUAAUAAUCUCUCACUGCUGGAGGCUUUCGUACAGCCGUCAGGAAACAGCUGCCGCUACUUUUAGCUGCUCAUCUCCACUGUGUAUUACACUGAGCUUUAAGUAGCAGGAACAGUUUUAAAGGCGCACAGUGGUUCUUGUUUACACCAUCUGUCUGCGUUUCAUAUGUUUUAAGAAUCCUGUUAAGAUUAUACAAAACAGUUCCUCUUACAAGUUAAAAGAUAUCACUAAGUUUUCACAUUUCACAUUCUCCUGAGUAAAAAUGACUUCAAGCUUCUUCUUUUUUUUUUUUAGAAAUGGACACAAACUAAUCUGUGGUGCUGUGCUGUCAAAGGAUGCCAUGGAAAAAUCUCUGAGGAACGUAUGAGCUGGCUGAUGAUGUGGAACGAUGUGGAAACCACAACAGGAUAAAGAUGAAAUAAGGCAGAGGAUUUUUAAUGAUCACCAGUAGGAGGCAGACGUAUGUCCACCUGAUGCCCGAUGACACUAAUGAAGGUUUUGGCUUCUCACCUUUAGCUGACUUGAGAAGACUCCUGAAACAUCAGCCCUUGUCCAAGCCAUCUGUCAGACUGGGUGACAUCUGCUGCACUGACACCAGUACCAAGCAGGGUUCUGCCACUGGUCACAGCCUCUGCCGCAGUAAUAUCACCGACAGUUUCAAGGCUCACUUCCUCGGCCUGACGUCCGCAGACCUUCAGCAGAGUCAUCAUUGUUCUUCCUGCAUGGUUGCUUUUCUCAUAAAGCUCACACACCAUUCUUUUACCCUCAGCCCUGAGGGAUCAGGGGCCGGUCCGUUAUGUCCUCGUCACGCCCUUGUUUGGUCUUGAUCUGUGUACAGUAUAUUCUUCACCUCUGGUUCUGGUGAAAACAUUAAUUAAAAAUAGACGGUGUGUUAUUUUUUGUGGGGAGUUUAUUUUUAACUGUUAACCGUGUUAAACGUUUUUGUUCGACCCACAUUUACAACAGGAAACACAUCCAUGUAAACUAAUGAUUCUCUCAAACCAAAGUCCAUUGAGAAAAGUCACAUAGUCAAAGUCAUAUACUGAAUAUUUCCCAAGUAAAAUGUGUCAAUGUUGAAACAAGUUCAUUAAACUCUGACUCCUCUUCCCUGAAGUCGUUUUAGUUCACAGGGACCACCACUGAUUAAAGAAGGAAUAUUUCUUAAUCAAAAAUGUUUUGCUUAAUCAAAUGACAGAUUUAUUUUAAUCAUUACGCUCAUUAUUAUAAACAAACCAUGAAUUAAGUCAAAAUAAAAACCCACAACUGGAGAAAGAACCACAGCAUGACAUUAAUUAUCCGAACAAACUCUACACAGUCACAGAACUACACACUGACCUUUUGGUGAAUUCAGCAGAAGUAAACAAAACAUGACAUUUAUCUGCGGAACAAUUUCAAAACAAUCGUUAAAGAAGGAAUAAUUAGCUUUGUGUUUUCAUUUAAUUUUUCUUGUCAUUGUCCUUACCUAUUGAGUCUGUAAAUGAUGUGAACGUGGAUAUAAACGAGGAGUCGGUGAAAGAGCCUGAAGUAAAUGUUCUUCAUUAUGAAAUAUGAGCCAUAGUCAUUAGCAAAUGGAGCAAUUUUACAACAUCUUCAUCAGUUAAAAACACCUUCACACUAACACCGACUGGAAACAAUUAGAAACUGUUUAAAUCAUCAUCCAUUAUGGAGAGUCAGAGUGUGUGAAAUGAGCUGCAGGAUGAUGGGAAAUGAGGAGGAGAGCAAUGCUACCUGCUGCA